UAAGGAAUGCACACGAUCGGAAAUGUGUGUCCAAGCAGCAAGUCUGAGAACGAGUGAAAUGCUUUUUCUCUCAAGGACAAGCUGUGAUGGGGAGCGAAAUUUAGUAGCGAAGUUCCUGAUGUCACACUGCCAAGAAAAGCUUCUAGUGAGAAAGUAACUGCCCGUACCGCAAACCGACACAGGUAGUUGAGGAGAGAAUCCUAAGGUGUGCGAGAGAACUCUCGUUAAGGAACUCGGCAAAAUGACCCCGUAACUUCGGGAGAAGGGGUGCUGACCGCAAGGUCAGCCGCAGUGAAUAGGCCCAAGCGACUGUUUAUCAAAAACACAGGUCUCUGCAAAAUCGAAAGAUGACGUAUAGGGGCUGACGCCUGCCCGGUGCUGGAAGGUUAAGAGGAGAGGUUAGCGCAAGCGAAGCUUUGAAUUGAAGCCCCAGUAAACGGCGGCCGUAACAAUAACGGUCCUAAGGUAGCGAAAUUCCUUGUCGGGUAAGUUCCGACCCGCACGAAAGGCGUAACGAUUUGGGCACUGUCUCAACGAGAGACUCGGUGAAAUUAUAGUACCAGUGAAGAUGCUGGUUACCCGCGACAGGACGGAAAGACCCCAUGGAGCUUUACUGCAGUUUGAUAUUGCGUGUUUGUAUCACAUGUACAGGAUAGGUAGGAGCCGAAGAUACCGGGACGCCAGUCUCGGAGGAGGCAACGGUGGGAUACUACCCUUGUGAUAUGACCACUCUAACCCGCUGCUCUUAGCGAGCAGGGAGACAGUGUCAGACGGGCAGUUUGACUGGGGCGGUCGCCUCCAAAAAUGUAACGGAGGCGCCCAAAGGUUCCCUCAGAAUGGUUGGAAAUCAUUCGUAGAGUGUAAAGGCAGAAGGGAGCUUGACUGCGAGACCUACAAGUCGAGCAGGGACGAAAGUCGGGCUUAGUGAUCCGGUGGUUCCGCAUGGAAGGGCCAUCGCUCAACGGAUAAAAGCUACCCUGGGGAUAACAGGCUUAUCUCCCCCAAGAGUUCACAUCGACGGGGAGGUUUGGCACCUCGAUGUCGGCUCAUCGCAUCCUGGGGCUGUAGUCGGUCCCAAGGGUUGGGCUGUUCGCCCAUUAAAGCGGUACGCGAGCUGGGUUCAGAACGUCGUGAGACAGUUCGGUCCCUAUCCGUCGCGGGCGUUGGAAAUUUGAGAGGAGCUGUCCUUAGUACGAGAGGACCGGGAUGGACACACCGCUGGUGUACCAGUUGUUCUGCCAAGAGCAUCGCUGGGUAGCUAUGUGUGGACGGGAUAAACGCUGAAAGCAUCUAAGCGUGAAGCCCCCCUCAAGAUGAGAUUUCCCAUCACUUUAAGUGAGUAAGACCCCUGAGAGAUGAUCAGGUAGAUAGGUUGGGAGUGGAAGUACAGCGAUGUAUGGAGCGGACCAAUACUAAUCGGUCGAGGACUUAACC
rnacentral:rRNA from 1 species